rnacentral:misc_RNA from 1 species
UACGGAGGGGGCUAGCGUUGUUCGGAAUUACUGGGCGUAAAGGGCGCGUAGGCGGUAUGUCAAGUCAGGGGUGAAAGGCCUGGGCUCAACCUAGGAACUGCCUUUGAAACUGGCAAACUAGAGUCCGAAAGAGGAUGGCGGAAUUCCCUGUGUAGAGGUGAAAUUCGUAGAUAUUGGGAAGAACACCGGUGGCGAAGGCGGCCACCUGUAUCGGCACUGACGCUGAGGCGCGAAAGCGUGUGGAGCAAACAGA